GACGAACGCUGGCGGCGUGCUUAACACAUGCAAGUCGAACGGAAAGGCCCUGCUUUUGUGGGGUGCUCGAGUGGCGAACGGGUGAGUAACACGUGAGUAACCUGCCCUUGACUUUGGGAUAACUUCAGGAAACUGAGGCUAAUACCGGAUAGGAGCUCCUGCUGCAUGGUGGGGGUUGGAAAGUUUCGGCGGUUGGGGAUGGACUCGCGGCUUAUCAGCUUGUUGGUGGGGUAGUGGCUUACCAAGGCUUUGACGGGUAGCCGGCCUGAGAGGGUGACCGGCCACAUUGGGACUGAGAUACGGCCCGGACUCCUACGGGAGGCAGCAGUGGGGAAUAUUGCACAAUGGGCGGAAGCCUGAUGCAGCAACGCCGCGUGCGGGAUGACGGCCUUCGGGUUGUAAACCGCUUUCGCCUGUGACGAAGCGUGAGUGACGGUAAUGGGUAAAGAAGCACCGGCUAACUACGUG
rnacentral:rRNA from 1 species